AUGAACGCUAGCGACAGGCUUAACACAUGCAAGUCGAGGGGCAGCGGGGGUAGCAAUACCCGCCGGCGACCGGCGCACGGGUGAGUAACGCGUAUGCAACUUGCCUAUCAGAGGGGGAUAACCCGGCGAAAGUCGGACUAAUACCGCAUAAAGCAGGGGCCCCGCAUGGGGAUAUUUGCUAAAGAUUCAUCGCUGAUAGAUAGGCAUGCGUUCCAUUAGGCAGUUGGCGGGGUAACGGCCCACCAAACCGACGAUGGAUAGGGGUUCUGAGAGGAAGGUCCCCCACAUUGGUACUGAGACACGGACCAAACUCCUACGGGAGGCAGCAGUGAGGAAUAUUGGUCAAUGGGCGUAAGCCUGAACCAGCCAAGUCGCGUGAGGGAUGAAGGUUCUAUGGAUCGUAAACCUCUUUUAUAAGGGAAUAAAGUGCGGGACGUGUCCCGUUUUGUAUGUACCUUAUGAAUAAGGAUCGGCUAACUCCGUGCCAGCAGCCGCGGUAAUACGGAGGAUCCGAGCGUUAUCCGGAUUUAUUGGGUUUAAAGGGUGCGUAGGCGGCCUUUUAAGUCAGCGGUGAAAGUCUGUGGCUCAACCAUAGAAUUGCCGUUGAAACUGGGGGGCUUGAGUAUGUUUGAGGCAGGCGGAAUGCGUGGUGUAGCGGUGAAAUGCUUAGAUAUCACGCAGAACCCCGAUCGCGAAGGCAGCCUGCCAAGCCAUGACUGACGCUGAUGCACGAAAGCGUGGGGAUCAAACAGGAUUAGAUACCCUGGUAGUCCACGCAGUAAACGAUGAUCACUAGCUGUUUGCGAUACAGUGUAAGCGGCACAGCGAAAGCGUUAAGUGAUCCACCUGGGGAGUACGCCGGCAACGGUGAAACUCAAAGGAAUUGACGGGGGCCCGCACAAGCGGAGGAACAUGUGGUUUAAUUCGAUGAUACGCGAGGAACCUUACCCGGGUUUGAACGCAUUCGGACCGAGGUGGAAACACCUUUUCUAGCAAUAGCCGUUUGCGAGGUGCUGCAUGGUUGUCGUCAGCUCGUGCCGUGAGGUGUCGGCUUAAGUGCCAUAACGAGCGCAACCCUUGCCACUAGUUACUAACAGGUAAAGCUGAGGACUCUGGUGGGACUGCCAGCGUAAGCUGCGAGGAAGGCGGGGAUGACGUCAAAUCAGCACGGCCCUUACAUCCGGGGCGACACACGUGUUACAAUGGCGUGGACAAAGGGAAGCCACCUGGCGACAGGGAGCGAAUCCCCAAACCACGUCUCAGUUCGGAUCGGAGUCUGCAACCCGACUCCGUGAAGCUGGAUUCGCUAGUAAUCGCGCAUCAGCCAUGGCGCGGUGAAUACGUUCCCGGGCCUUGUACACACCGCCCGUCAAGCCAUGGGAGCCGGGGGUACCUGAAGUCCGUAACCGCGAGGAUCGGCCUAGGGUAAAACUGGUGACUGGGGCU
rnacentral:rRNA from 1 species